CGCCCGUGUAAAGCUCUUUCGACGAGUCGAGUUGUUUGGGAAUGCAGCUCAAAAUGGGUGGUAAAUUUCAUCUAAAGCUAAAUAUUGGCCAGAGACCGAUAGCGCACAAGUAGAGUGAUCGAAAGAUGAAAAGCACUUUGGAAAGAGAGUUAAACAGUACGUGAAAUUGUUGAAAGGGAAGCGCUUGCAACCAGACUUAGUUGCGGCCGAUCAUCUAGGGUUCUCCCUGGUGCACUCGGUCGUAUCUAGGCCAGCAUCGGUUUGGGUGGUGGGAUAAAGGCCUUGGGAAUGUAGCUCCUUUCGGGGAGUGUUAUAGCCCUCGGUGCAAUGCCGCCUACCUGGACCGAGGACCGCGCUUCGGCUAGGAUGCUGGCGUAAUGGUUGUAAGCGACCCGUCUUGAAACACGGACCAAGGAGUCUAACAUCUAUGCGAGUAUUUGGGUGUCAAACCCAUAUGCGUAAUGAAAGUGAACGGAGGUGAGAACCCUUAAGGGUGCAUCAUCGACCGAUCCUGAUGUCUUCGGAUGGAUUUGAGUAAGAGCAUAGCUGUUGGGACCCGAAAGAUGGUGAACUAUGCCUAAAUAGGGUGAAGCCAGAGGAAACUCUGGUGGAGGCUCGCAGCGGUUCUGACGUGCAAAUCGAUCGUCAAAUUUGGGUAUAGGGGCGAAAGACUAAUCGAACCAUCUAGUAGC
rnacentral:rRNA from 1 species